UAAAGGCUGAAUUUUCGCUAAAAGCUGUAUUUUCCGAUGGUCCUUGAACGCACCAAAGCCCUGCAGGUAGCCCCGUUGAAACCGAGGAAAAAGAGUUGUCGCACAUUUUAUUUGUUAGAAGCCGAGCAGACAACCUGUGCAGACCAGCACGAUUCGGGAGAAGAAUCUUAUUGAACAACUCCAGAGGUUUUUUCCUAUGAACGUUUUGUUUUUUCUUUGAACAUCCUGUCUGGUUUUUUUUUCUAUGCUGGACUCUCCUUGAAGAUCCAAGUGCACCAUCCAAGGACGGGAUUCUGUGCAGCUGAAUUCGAGAAAUCUGGACAUCUUGGAUCAGAAGGUUAAGCAGGAGCGCGGUAACGGAAUUGAAUUGAUUUUUGAGGAUCCCCUUUCUUUUUUUUUCAAUUUUUUAUCCUGAGAUCUCAGA